GAGAAUAUUUCGGUGCUUGCCUCUGCCCUAAAACUGGAAUUAUACAGAGGUUAGCAUGACCCCUGUGCAAGGAUGGCACGAACAUGUGUACUGCUUUCCAUAGUUUU
ensembl:snRNA U6 U6 spliceosomal RNA